rnacentral:misc_RNA from 1 species
GAUGAAGAACGCAGCGAAAUGCGAUAAGUAAUGCGAAUUGCAGAAUCCGUGAGUCAUCGAAUCUUUGAACGCACUUUGCGCCCUCUGGUAUUCCGGAGGGCAUGCCUGUUCGAGCGUCAUUAUCACCCCUCAAGCCCGGCUUGUUGUUGGAUGCAGCGCUUAUCCCGCUCCUCCCAAAGAUAAUGACGGCGUCUGCGACGACUCCUGUACACUGAGCUUUCGGGCACGUACACGGCUAGAAGUCCAGACCCGGUCGCCGUCCCCCCCGCGGGGACACCCAUUACCACAAGGUUGACCUCGGAUCAGGUAGGAAUACCCGCUGAACUUAAGCAUAUCAAUAAGCGGAGGA